CUGCAUUUGCAUAUUAAAAGACUAGGUGGGAGGGCCCAUUUUUUCGAGGGCUAUGUGAAUGACAUGUUUAGUCAAACCAAUCCCCUAAGCCCUAUGCAGAUCAGACACCGCCUCCUCCAGCCUCCUCAUAUAAAGCUGGUAUCCGCUUCACUCCGGGUUUCCUCUCUUGGCCUUGGAGACCCUUUCCCUCUGUCUCCGUACAGGGAAGCUUCUUCCUUCUUUCUUUUUUCUUGCCUAUUAAACUCUCUGCUCCUUGAAACUACUCCACGUGUAUCUGUCAUUUUAUGCAAUUCAGCCUAAGACAAGAGCCCUGGUGUUCCUCCACUCAUUGAAGUCGUAUCAUUUCUUUUUCUUUUUCUUUCUUUCUUUCUUUUUUUUUUUUUUUUUUUUUUUGAGUCAGCGUCUUCGUCUUUCACUCAGGCUGGAGAGUAGUGGCACAAUCAUAUCACAGCUCACUGCAGACUCGACCUCCUGGGCUCAAGCAAUCCUCCCACCUCAGCUUCCCAAGUAGCUGGGACCACAGGCAUGCUCCAUCAUGCUUGGCUAAUUUUUGUAUAAUUUUAUUUUAUUUUUAUUUUUUUUUUUUUGGAGAGAUGAGGUUUCGCCAUGUUUCUCAGGCUGCACUCACACUCCUAUGCUCAAGCAAUCUGCCGGCUUCAGCCUCCCAAAGUGCUGGGAUUACAGGUCUGCACCACACACCUGGCCUUGGAUUUAUUUCUUUUAGUCCAAAUACUCCUUUAAUAUUUCUGCAGUCUUAUAAUUACAAUAUCUGAUCAGGAAGUGAGUCUCCUUUCAUUAAUGUUGUGUGAACUCUCUUUAAAUCAAUUAAUGUAAACAGUAUAUUUUCCAGGAGAGUAAAUUUUUCUUAAAUUGUAUACUUGAUUUUAGUUUCUGUUUCAAGUUUUGUAAUUUGAUUCUUUUUCAGAAAUACCUAUAGAGAAUCAAAUCUUUCUUUUUUCUCCCACAGAUACCAUCUUCUCUUUGAUAGCUUUCAUGUUUUGUACUUUUCAACUUUUUUUUCUAUAUUCUAGGAUGGUUUCUCAAAUUCUCUGAUGUGUUCAUUUUGUUUUGCUAUUUCGAAUAUGGAUUUAGUUUAGGUCAUUUAAGGGAUCUGCAUUCCUUUAAGUGUGUUGUUGAUAUGGUAAUUGGGUCAUGGGGGUGGUUUCCCCACCCUGUUCUCAUGAUAAUGAGUGAGUCUCAGGAGAUCUGAUGGUUUUGUAAGUGUCUGGCAUUUCCCCUGCUUGCACUCAUUCCAUCCUGCCCCCUGUGAAGAAGGUGCCUUUUUCUCCUUUGCCUGCUGCCAGGAUUCUAAGUUUCCUGAGGCCCCACCCAGCAAUGCAGAACUGGUCUGAAACUCCUGGGAUCAAGGAAUCCUCCCAAGAUGUGCGAUGCUUAUUGAACAUUCAAAGUAGGCAGAUGACUCAAAAUUCAGUGGAGAGAUUUAAGAGUAGUAUCCUGAGAAGAAGAGGAAGCAACCAGAGUUCUCCCUCUGCCAUGUGAGAAGACAGUAGAAUGUGGCUGUCUGUAGCCAGAAAGAGAGACUUAUCGAGAACUAAAUUGGCUGGCACCUUAUUCUUGGACUUCCCAGCCUUCAGAUCUGUGAGAAAUAAACAUCUGUUGUUGAAGUCACCCAGUCUAUGGUGUUUCGUUAUAGUAACUGGAGAAGUCUAAGAGAAUACAGCAAAAUGGUUUGAAUAUGUUUUAAUUCUACAAUUAAAAUGUUGGAAGAAAAGAAGUGUGGUAUAAUUCACAUUUAAAAAAUUAUAUUCAAUUUAUUUUUUGGAAAGUAUAUUUAUGUUUAUCUUUCAGACUCUGGUAAUGACUGCCAGGUCUCAGUCUUCAGUUUGAAGUUCUCACUGAGCUUCACACCUUUGUCCCUGUCUGUUGUAUUUACUUCUUUGGAUAAAACGUCCCCAUUAUGUAUGGUAGGUUAAGAAAAAAAAAAUCCCUUCUUCAUUUCUUUUCACAGGCAUUACUGUCCACCAGCCAUCUAGGCUUGAGAACUUGGAGACCUCCAUGGAAAAGUCUUGCUCCCUAAACUUCUUUACUAAACAUCCAAGAUCCCCUCUUUUCUAUAUGCCUAAAUUAUAAAAUUUCUAGCACAGAACUUUUUAUUUAUAAACAAUUCUACAUUUUAAGCAUUUAUUCAUAUGUGUCUUAUUUGUUUCUUUAAUUUAUUAUAAAUUUGAUGGCAUGGAACCCAAAUUUGUCUUCUAUAUCUCUCCUAACAUUUAACAUAGAGCUAGGUAACUAAUGAUGCUUAGCUAAUUCUUUUCUAUGAUUAUGACUG
rnacentral:lncRNA from 10 species